AAAGAGAUAAGAUUGGUUAAUUUGUGGAGGGAGCUCAUAAAAUUGGAUCCAAUUGCAAAACGAAAAACGAGAACCCGUUGCUUCUCCUCUUCAUCCCCAAUACUCAACAUCCAUCACAAAAGCCGAACCCCACAUAAUACUCCCUCCGGCGAGCUCACUUCCAUCACCACCGUAAACCACCCAACAUCCACUUCGCGAUACUCCCACCGGAAUCCAUUUCAUCUGUCCACAGUCACCCUUCAUAAUCACCGGACCGCACGUCCUUCCGCCAUCAAACUCCCUCCGUCACCCCCCUCCGUAAGAACCUCACAUCCGACCCUGCUUCUUAUUCUCAUUCGCACGCGUCCAGCUCGACACUCCCUUCACCCCUCCGUGAAACUGCUAUGCGCAAUCUCCCCUACUAUCCGCGACACCACCUUCUGUCAAACAACCACCCUCUGCUACAGCGUACUCCCUCCGAUACAGUACUCUCUCCUACUGCAACCAUCACCAAUACCUUCAUCGUUCUCAAGUGGUAAACCUCAUCAUUCUCACCAUUUUAGUUUACUCCUAAUUUAUGGUUUUGUUUUGACAAAUUAUUGGUUAAUAUAA